rnacentral:rRNA from 1 species
GACACUCGGCAACGGAUAUCUCGGCUCUCGCAUCGAUGAAGAACGUAGCGAAAUGCGAUACCUGGUGUGAAUUGCAGAAUCCCGUGAACCAUCGAGUCUUUGAAUGCAAGUUGCGCCCGAGGCCACUCGGCCGAGGGCACGCCUGCCUGGGCGUCA